rnacentral:sRNA from 1 species
GGAGCAUGGGGAGCUCCCGGGAGGCCACUCGUGCGCCGGCCGGGUCCCCGGCUUGGGCCUCCACUCAGGCCAUUACUCCGGGCGCGGCCCUGACGGUCCAGCGCGGCUAGCAGCAGGAAUCACAUUAAACAUUGCUGGUAACAAUCGCUUAGUGCCAGUAGAAAGAGUUACAGGUGAAGAUUUUUGGAUUCUUUCCAAAAUUUUAAAGAAUUGUCUGUAUAUUAAUGGUUUGGAUGUUGGAUAUAACCUUCUAUGUGAUGUUGGUGCAUACUAUGCUGCGAAACUGCUUCAGAAACAACUUAAUCUCAUUUACUUAAACCUCAUGUUUAAUGAUAUUGGGCCCGAAGGUGGAGAAUUGAUUGCUAAAGUGCUACAUAAGAAUCGGACUCUGAAAUACCUAAGAAUGACUGGAAACAAAAUUGAAAAUAAAGGUGGAAUGUUUUUUGCUGCAAUGCUGCAAAUUAAUUCAUCAUUAGAGAAAUUAGAUCUGGGUGACUGUGAUCUGGGAAUGCAAAGUGUGAUAGCAUUUGCUACAGUACUAACUCAAAACCAAGCAAUUAAGGCAAUAAACCUAAACCGACCUAUACUGUAUGGUGAACAGGAAGAGUCUACAGUCCAUGUAGGCCGCAUGUUGAAAGAAAAUCACUGUCUUGUUGCACUACACAUGUGUAAGCAUGAUAUAAAAAACAGUGGUAUACAACAGUUAUGUGAUGCACUGUAUCUGAACAGUAGCCUGCGCUACCUUGAUGUCAGCUG